rnacentral:rRNA from 1 species
AACAAAAACAUGUCUUUUUGGAAAUAAUUUAAAGUUUAACCUGCCCAAUGAGUUUUUUAAUGGCCGCAGUAAAUUGACUGUGCAAAGGUAGCAUAAUCAUUAGUUUUUUAAUUAAAAGCUGGAAUGAAUGGUUGGACGAGAUAUAGACUGUCUUAAAUUAAAUAUUAGAAUUUAAUUAUUUAGUAAAAAAGCUAAAAUAAUAGUAAAAGACGAGAAGACCCUAUAGAUCUUUAUAAUUAAUUUAUUAAAAUUAGUAAAGAAAAUUAAAUGAUUUAAUAAGUUAAUUAUUUUAUUGGGGUAAUAAUAAGAUUAAAUAAAUUCUUUUAAAAUAAACAUUAAUUAAUGAUUAAAAUUUGAUCCUUAGUUUGGAUAGUAAGAUUAAGUUACCUUAGGGAUAACAGCGUAAUUUUUUUAGAGAGUUCUUAUCGAUAAAAGAGUUUGCGACCUCGAUGUUG